UUACAAUUGCAGUUAUGUUUUAAAAUUGUGUCAGGAACUUUCAAUGGAAGGACUGGGGUUGAAUUCAGUUCCACCAGAAGUAUGGGAAUCAGGGGAAGUCAUGAAACAUGAUCUUUCCAAAAACCCCAUCCAGGAGUUGCCUGUUGAGCUUUCUUCUUGUGUAUCCCUCCAGGAUUCUGGCUGAAGUUGAAAACUUUGCUGCUAAUUCUGAUGGACAAACACAGAAACUAGAGGAUAUCCAUGCCCAAAAACUGAAAGAACUUGAAGCACAGAUUCUUGAUCUGAAGAAGAGAGCCAGGUCCAGAUUACAGAGACUGUGCUAGAAUAGAGAAGGCUGGUGGUGAAUGCUUGACAUUUGAUCAGCUUGCACUUAGGGCACCUCUCUAAAAUAGAGUUUUGAAUUCGAGAUUUAUUUUGUAUUUUGAGUAUUAGUUUUUUAAUGUAUAAAACAAUUAUAGUAAAAAUUAUAUAAGUCACUAAUUAUUAUUUGA